rnacentral:lncRNA from 1 species
UAGAGAGAUACAGUAUUACCUUUACUUCGAGUCAACAUGAUCACACAACUAGGAAAGAAAGUAACACAUAAUAAAACUACUUCCAAGAGAUUUAAGUAGCAUCAGAGGCAAUGCAACAGCGGAAUAAAAACACGACUAGCCUUAUGGAACAAGACAAGGGAGAAAUAAACUCCCAUAGUAGAUGCUAAGAAGUAGGAGAAAUAAACUCCUAAUAGUUUAACGCGCAUCCAUUCAUCAAGAGAUCAACAGGGAAAAAUAAAUUCCCAUAAACAUCUGAGAAAAAUAAAUUCUCAGUCAUAGUGGAUAGUGGACUCAUUAGUCAGGUGCCAUAACACUUGGCACAACAUUUGUCAUCAAAUAGAUUCAGGCGAUCAAGAGAUAAUAUCACUCACACUCCCCCUGAAUUCAUGCAUACAAACAUCAUAUAGAGAAAGAAUAUUUACUACUUCCCCUCAACACN